rnacentral:rRNA from 2 species
CAGGUAGGGAUACCCGCUGAACUUAAGCAUAUCAUA